AGAGAGAGAGAAGGGGAGAGAGAAUGACAAGUCUUAAUAUUGAAUGCACAGCUUCAAUUCCAAAGCAAACCUAUGUGUCCAUCUCUUCCCUCACCAAUGUGUGUGUGUGUUCUCUGUUUGUGGUGUGUGAAGCAUUUUCUACAUAGGCGUGUUGAUACAUCAGCCCUAAGUUGACAGUAUCAACAGCGAACAAUAUUAAAAACAAGAUUAUGGUUCAAGGUGGGAAAUAGUGAAGCAGGCCUAGAUAAGUGAAACAGCUAGAACGAUGGUGGAGGAUGUUGUUGGUGCGUCUGCAUGGAGGAUGUUGUUGGUGCAUCUGCAUGGAGGAUGUUGUUGGUGCAUCUGCAUGGAGAAUAAUGUUGUUGGUGCGUCUGCAUGGAGGAUGUUGUUGGUGCGUCUGCAUGGAGAAUGUUGUUGUUGGUGCGUCUGCAUGGAGAAUGUUGUUGUUGGUGCGUCUGCAUGGAGAAUGUUGUUGUUGGUGCGUCUGCAUGGAGAAUGUUGUUGUUGGUGCGUCUGCAUGGAGAAUGUUGUUGUUGGUGCGUCUGCAUGGAGAAUGUUGUUGUUGGUGCGUCUGCAUGGAGAAUGUUGUUGUUGGUGCGUCUGCAUGGAGAAUGUUGUUGUUGGUGCGUCUGCAUGGAGAAUGUUGUUGUUGGUGCGUCUGCAUGGAGAAUGUUGUUGUUGGUGCGUCUGCAUGGAGGAUGUUGUUGUUGGUGCGUCUGCAUGGAGAAUGUUGUUGUUGGUGCGUCUGCAUGGAGAAUGUUGUUGUUGGUGCGUCUGCAUGGAGGAUGAUGUUGUUGGUGCGUCUGCAUGGAGGAUGUUGUUGGUGCGUCUGCAUGGAGGAUGUUGUUGGUGCGUCUGCAUGGAGGAUGUUGUUGGUGCGUCUGCAUGGAGGAUGUUGUUGGUGCGUCUGCAUGGAGGAUGUUGUUGGUGCGUCUGCAUGGAGGAUGUUGUUGGUGCGUCUGCAUGGAGGAUGUUGUUGGUGCGUCUGCAUGGAGGAUGUUGUUGGUGCAUCUGUAUGGAGGAAGACUCAUGGGGAGAAGUGUCUGAAAGAUUAGGUUCUUUUAUACCCAGAAAUGAGGGUGUGUUUUUGCUUGCUGUAUUGAUUUGUGCA